GUGAACGCUGGCGGUAGGCCUAACACAUGCAAGUCGAACGGCAGCACCGUAAGAGCUUGCUCUUACGGGUGGCGAGUGGCGGACGGGUGAGGAAUACAUCGGAAUCUACUUUUUCGUGGGGGAUAACGUAGGGAAACUUACGCUAAUACCGCAUACGACCUACGGGUGAAAGCAGGGGAUCUUCGGACCUUGCGCGAUUGAAUGAGCCGAUGUCGGAUUAGCUAGUUGGCGGGGUAAAGGCCCACCAAGGCGACGAUCCGUAGCUGGUCUGAGAGGAUGAUCAGCCACACUGGAACUGAGACACGGUCCAGACUCCUACGGGAGGCAGCAGUGGGGAAUAUUGGACAAUGGGCGCAAGCCUGAUCCAGCCAUACCGCGUGGGUGAAGAAGGCCUUCGGGUUGUAAAGCCCUUUUGCUGGGAAAGAAAAGCAGCAGGUUAAUACCCCGCUGUUCUGACGGUACCCAAAGAAUAAGCACCGGCUAACUUCGUG
rnacentral:rRNA from 1 species